UACGAAGGGGGCUAGCGUUGUUCGGAAUUACUGGGCGUAAAGGGCGCGUAGGCGGUACUUCAAGUCAGGCGUGAAAGCCCCGGGCUCAACCUGGGAACCGCGCUUGAGACUGGAGAACUAGAGUUCGGGAGAGGAUGGUGGAAUUCCAGUGUAGAGGUGAAAUUCGUAGAUAUUGGGAAGAACACCGAUGGCGAAGGCAGCCAUCUGGACCGACACUGACGCUGAGGCGCGAAAGCGUGGGGAGCAAACAGG
rnacentral:rRNA from 1 species